AAUGUAGAAACACAGCUGUCUUUGAAUUUCAGAUAAACAAUGAAUAUUUUUUGAGAAUAAGUAUGUCCCAUGCAAUGUUUGGGACAUACUUAGGCUAAAACAUUAUUUGUGUUUCAUCUGCAGUUCAGUUUAACUGGACAUCCUGUAUUUU
rnacentral:miRNA from 1 species